rnacentral:lncRNA from 1 species
GAUUAGUUGUGGGGCUUGGAAAUGUCGUGUCGCCCAAUCCUGCCGACACACCUUUUGUGUGUUCCUACUCGAGUGGCAAUAAGGGUUGGACGAACGUGUACGGGUAAAUUGGCACACCCUGCAGGGAUAAAUCUUUCGGAAAGCCGUGUCCGCGGUUAUGGACGACUUGGUUGGUCAUUACUUGAUCAUAGAGAACUCAAUCAUUUUAAUCAACUUAAUCUCAUAAACUUGAGUAGUAAUUAGCCUUAAUCAUGGAUAUGCUUAAAACUGCUUAAGUGUGAGUGUCCUUUGGAUUGCUUCCUCACAGAGUGUUGAGGGGGUGAUAGGAGGAUUGUGUUGUUUGGUGUUUAGUAAAUAGGUUAAUCACCUCACUUGGUAGACGCUUCUCAUCUUCUACUUAGACGUUGUUAAUAGAGUGUCUCUCCAGAUAUUGUUGUUGCUGCA